rnacentral:rRNA from 1 species
AACGCUGGCGGCGUGCUUAACACAUGCAAGUCGAGCGAUGAAGCUCCUUCGGGAGUGGAUUAGCGGCGGACGGGUGAGUAACACGUGGGUAACCUGCCUCAUAGAGGGGAAUAGCCUUUCGAAAGGAAGAUUAAUACCGCAUAAGAUUGUAGUGCCGCAUGGCAUAGCAAUUAAAGGAGUAAUCCGCUAUGAGAUGGACCCGCGUCGCAUUAGCUAGUUGGUGAGGUAACGGCUCACCAAGGCGACGAUGCGUAGCCGACCUGAGAGGGUGAUCGGCCACAUUGGGACUGAGACACGGCCCAGACUCCUACGGGAGGGAGCAGUGGGGAAUAUUGCACAAUGGGGGAAACCCUGAU